rnacentral:rRNA from 1 species
CCCUUAGAUGUUCUGGGCCGCACGCGUGCUACACUGAGUGGAUCAGCGGGUCAGGUUGCGCGAAAGCGUUUCCUAAUCUUGAAAUCCGCUCGUGAUGGGGAUUGACGGUUGCAAUUUUCUGUCAUGAACGAGGAAUACCUUGUAAGCGCGAGUCAUCAUCCCGCGCUGAAUACGUCCCCGCCCUUUGUACACACCGCCCGUCGCUCCUACCGAUUGAGUGGUCCGGUGAGGCUUUGGGAUCUGAGCGGAAAGAGCGUUUCGCUCGUUCUGCCCGGAAAACUCAGUCGAACCUUAUCAUUUAGAGGAAGGAGAAGUCGUAACA